AGUGGCGAACGGGUGAGUAUCACGUGAGAAACCAACCCCGGUCUCUGGGAUAACAGUUGGAAACGACUGCUAAUACUGGAUGUCGUCGUACCCUAGCAUGGGGGAAUGACGAAAGGGUUACCGGAUCGGGACGGUCUCGCGGCCUAUCAGCUUGUUGGGGAGGUAACGGCUCACCAAGGCUUCGACGGGUAGCUGGUCUGAGAGGAUGAUCAGCCACACUGGGACUGAGACACGGCCCAGACUCCUACGGGAGGCAGCAGUGGGGAAUCUUGCGCAAUGGGCGAAAGCCUGACGCAGCAACGCCGCGUGCGGGAUGAAGGCCUUAGGGUUGUAAACCGCUUUUAACAGGAACGAAAAUGACGGUACCUGUAGAAUAAGGUGCGGCCAACUACGUGCCAGCAGCCGCGGUGACACGUAGGCACCAAGCGUUGUCCGGAUUUAUUGGGCGUAAAGAGCUCGUAGGCGGUUCAGUAAGUCGGGUGUGAAAACUCUGGGCUUAACCCAGAGACGCCACUCGAUACUACUGUGACUAGAGUUCGGUAGGGGAGCGGGGAAUUCCUAGUGUAGCGGUGAAAUGCGCAGAUAUUAGGAGGAACACCGGUGGCGAAGGCGCCGCUCUGGGCCGAUACUGACGCUGAGGAGCGAAAGCGUGGGUAGCAAACAGGAUUGGAUACCCUGGUAGUCCACGCCGUAAACGGUGGGCACUAGGUGUGGGCUCCAACCAACGGAGUCCGCGCCGUCGCUAACGCAUUAAGUGCCCCGCCUGGGG
rnacentral:rRNA from 1 species